GAAUACAGUAAUAUUUUGCUAUAUUUAUGGAGGCAUGAGGGUCCCAGGGGGGCUAGAUGGUGGUUUUAACACUAUAGGGUCAGGAAUACAUGUUUGUGUUCCUGACCCUAUAGUGAUCCUUUAAACAGCAGAUUUCCUCUGUAAUAAAAUCUGCCUACUUUCACCUGAAAAACAUAGCCAGGAUACAACACUUAAUUCCAC